rnacentral:rRNA from 1 species
UACAGGGGGUGCAAACGUUGCUCGGAAUUAUUGGGCGUAAAGCGCACGUAGGCGGUUUGUUAUGUCGGAUGUGAAAGCCCUUGGCUCAACUGAGGAAGUGCAUCCGAAACUGGCAAGCUAGAGUAUGUAAGAGGUCGCGGAAUUCCCGGUGUAGAGGUGAAAUUCGUAGAUAUCGGGAGGAACACCGGUGGCGAAGGCGGCGACCUGGGACAAUACUGACGCUGAGGUGCGAAAGCGUGGGAGCAAACAGG